rnacentral:rRNA from 1 species
UGAGGAAUAUUGGUCAAUGGGCUUACGCCUGAACCAGCCAAGUCGCGUGAGGGAAGACUGCCCUAUGGUUGUAAACCUCUUUUGUCAGGGAGCAACAACAUCUACGAGUAGGUGUUACGAGAGUACCUGAAGAAAA